rnacentral:lncRNA from 1 species
AAGAUAAUUUGAUAUCUGUGUCGCUCACUUAUUUAGAAAAAAUUUAGUUAGGAAUGUGAAACAGUUAAGUUUCGAAACUUUAGACCUUGAGUAUUAAUCAUUAAGUUCUUAUGAUAUAUCGGAUGGAAAUAAGAUUAUAAUGUGAUAUAUAAGAGAUCAUGGGCACUAGUAUUAAUAACUGAAUUUAAACAUUUUAGGUUGGUGGUUUUGAGUCAAACGAAUUAUUAUUAUUAGUGGGCCGAGUAGUUACAGUUCUUAGGCUUCGUUUGGGAUUGCGCGGAGAUUACGUUACGUGCGGUGAGAAAGUACGUUGGAAAAAUACCCUGUUUGUUUCCGUACGUAAUAUUGCGUUCCGCAUAUCGCGAUGAGUCGGUUACGAUAUAUUUUCUACAGUUUCACCGAAGAAUGCAGAAAUAUAUCUCUAUAUAUUUUUUCCUUAACUCCAUUUUAUCUAAUAGCUUUAGAUAGACCUCAAUACCAAACUAAGCCUUAGCCAACUAUGUUAGGUACAUAC